AGAGUUUGAUCAUGGCUCAGGACGAACGCUGGCGGCGUGCUUAACACAUGCAAGUCGAACGGUGAUCUUGAGAGCUUGCUCUUGGGUGAUCAGUGGCGAACGGGUGAGUAACACGUGAGCAACCUGCCCCAGACUCUGGAAUAACCCCGGGAAACCGGAGCUAAUACCGGAUACGACACUGGCCCGCAUGGGUAUGGUGUGGAAAGUUUUUCGGUCUGGGAUGGGCUCGCGGCCUAUCAGCUUGUUGGUGAGGUAGUGGCUCACCAAGGCGACGACAGGUAGCCGGCCUGAGAGGGCGACCGGCCACACUGGGACUGAGACACGGCCCAGACUCCUACGGGAGGCAGCAGUGGGGAAUAUUGCACAAUGGGCGCAAGCCUGAUGCAGCGACGCCGCGUGAGGGAUGACGGCCUUCGGGUUGUAAACCUCUUUCAGCAGGGAAGAAGCGCAAGUGACGGUACCUGCAGAAGAAGCACCGGCUAACUACGUGCCAGCAGCCGCGGUA
rnacentral:rRNA from 1 species